AUGCCAGGGUAGAAAGGUCUAAAACCACAUGAGCUUGCUCAUAUGUGGGUUAAAGACCUUGAGACCCGCCCCGAUAUGAGCAUAAAAGUGGAGCGUUAGCUUCACGAUAUGCGAAUAUCGGGCAGGGGUGUGGGAGUGCGUAGCACGGAACAACCCGCAGGC
rnacentral:sRNA from 1 species